CAUAUAUUUGGGAGCCAUCGAC
rnacentral:piRNA from 1 species